rnacentral:rRNA from 1 species
AUUGCCCCAGUAACGGCGAAGUGAAGCGGCAGGAGCUCAAAUUUGAAAUCUGGGGUCCCCCGGCCCCCGAGUUGUAAUUUGGAGAGGCAUCUUCGGGGGGGAGCGCCGGCCCAUGUUCCUUGGAACAGGACGUCGCAGAGGGUGAGAAUCCCGUGCCAGGCCGGCUGCCUCCUCCCUAGUGAAGGGCCUUCGACGAGUCGAGUUGUUUGGGAAUGCAGCUCCAAGUGGGUGGUAAAUUUCAUCUAAAGCUAAAUACCGGCGGGAGACCGAUAGCGCACAAGUAGAGUGAUCGAAAGAUGAAAAGCACUUUGAAAAUAGAGUCAAAAAGUACGUGAAAUUGUUGAAAGGGAAGCGCUUGAGACCAGACUCAGACCCGAGCAAACACCGCGCCCCUCGGGGCCGUGCAAUUGCCUGGGGCUGGGCCAGCAUCAGUUGGCGUGGCGGGACAAAGGCGCGGGGAAUGUGGCUCCCCUCGGGGAGUGUUAUCAGGCCCGCGCUCAAUGCCGCCGCCGCCGACUGAGGACCGCGCCUCGGCUAGGAUGCUGGCUUAAUGGCCUUCAGCGACCCGUCUUGAAACACGGACCAAGGAGUCUAACAUCUAUGCGAGUGUUUGGGCGUCAAACCCUUGCGCGGAAUGAAAGUGAGCGGAGGUGGGAACCCCUUCGCAGGGCGCACCAUCGACCGAUCCUGAUGUCUUCGGAUGGACUUGAGUAGGAGCAUAGCUGUUGGGACCCGAAAGAUGGUGAACUAUGCCUGAAUAGGGUGAAGCCAGAGGAAACUCUGGUGGAGGCUCGCAGCGGUUCUGACGUGCAAAUCGAUCGUCAAAUUUGGGUAUAGGGGCGAAAGACUAAUCGAACCAUCUAGUAGCUGGUUCCUGCCGAA